AACGAACGCUGGCGGCAGGCUUAACACAUGCAAGUCGAGCGCCCCGCAAGGGGAGCGGCAGACGGGUGAGUAACGCGUGGGAAUCUACCCAGUGGUACGGAACAACCCCGGGAAACUUGGGCUAAUACCGUAUAAGUCCUUCGGGUGAAAGAUUUAUCGCCAUUGGAUGAGCCCGCGUCGGAUUAGCUAGUUGGUGGGGUAAUGGCCCACCAAGGCGACGAUCCGUAGCUGGUCUGAGAGGAUGAUCAGCCACACUGGGACUGAGACACGGCCCAGAAUCCUACGGGAGGCAGCAGUGGGGAAUAUUGGACAAUGGGCGCAAGGCUGAUCCAGCCAGGCCGCGUGAGUGAUGAAGGCCGGAGGGUUGUAAAGCUCUUUCGGCGGUGAAGAUAAUGACGGUACCCGCAGAAGAAGCCCCGGCUAACUUCGUGCCAGCCGCCGCUGUAACAC
rnacentral:rRNA from 1 species